GUGCUUGCUUCGGCAGCACAAAUACUAAAAAUUAGAAUGAUACAGAGAAUAGUAGCAUGGCCCCUGAGCAAGGAUGACCUGCAAAUUCAUGAAGUGUUCCAUAUUUAA